ACAAUGCGGGACUAUACGUCUUGCAAUUGGAUUGAGAACAAUGUACAACUCUUAUCGAUAAGCCAUUGGAGGGCAAGUCUGGUGCCAGCAGCCGCGGUAAUUCCAGCUCCAAUAGCGUAUAUUAACGUUGUUGCAGUUAAAAAGCUCGUAGUUGAAGUGUGGGUGAUCGCUGUUGUGAGACUUCGGUCUCUCGACAGUAAGUCACCCCCUUCCAGUAUCCAGUAGUGGGUAUUCAGUUACUUACUAUUGUGUGUUGGUCGUUUACUGUGAGAAAAUUAGAGUGUUCAAAGCAGGCGUUUGCUUGAAUAGAUUAGCAUGGAAUAAUAAUUGAAGGCUUUCGUGUUCGAUUUGAUUGGUUUGUUCAUGGAAGCAAGGUUAAAAGGAACAGUUGGGGGUAUUCAUAUUCACUAGUUAGAGGUGAAAUUCUCGGAUUUAUGGAAGAUGAAC
rnacentral:rRNA from 1 species